AGAGAGAGAAUAUUGUACUAUUCUAUGUUUCUAAAUAGAAUGGAACACACCAACAUUGUGUCUCAUUUUAAAAAUUAAAUCUAACUAUAUUAUAUUAUAUGUCUAAAAUAAUAUAGAAUUAAAAUCGCGACUAUAGAAUCUUAUAAUAUAAAAUAGAAGAUUAUUCUCUUCUCCUCUUACCACCUCAUCAAAUAGGGCAAUGAGAGGCUGACACCUGUCCUCUUUUUAUAAACAAUGCGUUUCAGUACAGUGUGUGGAUGUAUAUGGGAUUCAUCUUCAUUUGGGCUUUAUUCUUGGCAUUUAACGCGGCCCGUUCUCAGUUGCUCAAGCGCUUAGGGUUCUCAUCGUUCUUCGAUCUCUACCAUUAGGAGAGACAUAUUUGCUUUAGUCGGCGUCACUAUUCCGUUCCUUGGUGUUUCGAUCACGACCUUUAACCUUCUUUCCAUCAAUCAAAAUGAAACUCCUUCCAGAUUCAUCGCAUUUAACAUGUUCUUUACUCCUUUACCCACGAUCUACUCUUAAAUGUGUGUUAAUCUUCUGAGAGGCGGUGUUUCUACUGGUAUAAAAAGUCCUAGAUUCUCCUCCACUGUUGAGGUCGGAUUACUCCGGUUCUGUGAGGUACUCAUGUGGGUGGAUGUAAAUAAGGGCUCAUGUUCCUUAAACAAAACGAGCUGCUUGGAUUAUCUAUCACAACACUCAGCUCCCAGAAUUCUCCAAGAAAUUUACAGCAUGUGCCAAUACUCCCAUCGUCCUCUUAGUUGCAACCGUGAACGCAAAACGUGUUGGAGUGAUUGUAAAACUAAAGGCACAAGAAGCCCUUCUUCAUUGAUGUACCCAAAAUAUGACUAGUUAACCUAGCUGGUGUUGCAAAGUAGCAUGCAAAAGUCUCUGUCUAUGACAACGACAACAACCAGACUGUUUUCGUGCUACUUAGUGUAGCAGGUCAUGAGUUGACAGGAAAGCACGCUAUGGAAUAAGUUGACAACUACUUUGAGCUUAGUUGGCUUCAGAUUAUACCUAGAGUUAUUUAUAACUCUCUUUUUUUAAAAAAAAUGUAGUCUAAUGAAAACAUUGGUGCCGACAACGACACCAUUGGUCAAACACAUAAGUUCAGGGUCAAAGUAUCUUACUAAAACUUGACAGGGGAGACUAAGUCUAUAGCUAUUACAAAGGUGCUUUCUUCAUCGGUUCUGUCACCUAUAACAGCCCAGUUGAGAUUGAUGUGUGUGCAUCUUCGAAAGGUUGUGGGGACCUUACUGAUGAGGGAAACAAAACCACCAGUAACACUGAUGUAGCACAGAAAGCUAACCGUGCUGCUGGAUAAUAGAGCAUCCAUCACUCAUCCCAGUCAAUGCUAGCAUGCGUUGGAGUGUUAGUCUCUAUUUUUCUAUGUUUAUGCUUUGACUAAGUUUUUCUUUAUUUGGUUUUCAACUAUCGUUGUUGCAUUGGUUUAAUAUUUGAACACAAUUUACUUAUUUUUAGACUUUAAUUUUUCUUAGAGGACUUAAUGAUUUUGAGGUUCCUAAGCACUUGGUAUUUCGUAUACUGAUGACAACUAAUCAAUCAGGAAUUUUUAGUUAGAAAAAUAAACGUUUAACGACUCAAACAGAUUGUUUAGACUUUUACAUUGUUAAUUUUUUACUGGCUCAAAUCAACUGUAUUGAUCCAACCGAAACCAACGCAAGAAAAACACACAAGUUCUUCUUUCACAUGCUCUAAAAACCACACUAUCGGACAAGUUUUCAAACCUCUUCUACGUUGAAGCUCUCUGGUUAAGAAACAAUACCCCAAUCAACUGUAUAAACGUAAGAAUUUUUAAAGCAGACCCAAAUUUUUUUAUAACUUGACCCAUAACAAUAACUUACUAUCGGAUUGAUUGUAAGGUUUGUCAUCUUGACUGGAAUGGAUAAAUCAUCUCCUACCCACCCUCUGCAUACUUCAAGCAUUACAACUCAUUAUUCCACUGAUUCACCAACAUUAAUGUUAAGUGUAAGCCGAUUAGACAGGAUAGGUAGGGCAACAUUAAUAUGUCAUAGGUUUUGAAUAACGUUAUUUGGGCUGAAAAAUGUAAACAAAAGCUUAAUUUGUUUCACCUUUGUCUCACCUUCUCCUUCUUAGAGAAUGGCAAGUCAAGAUUGUCAGGGUUCUUCUUUUUUCGCCAGAGACGAUUAACAACGGCCAAUCAUUGCUGGAAUCUGCCGUUCAUUUCAAUUCGACUGUAGUUCUUCUCACCGACAAUAGGAAACCGAACAGUUACGAAUUACAUUAAAUCGUUGUCAUUAAAGUUCUUCCUAACUCAUUCUCCCCAUUCAUUCCAAUGUUUCUCAUUUAGUGCAUCUCUUCUUCUUACAGUCGGUGAAUCUGCACUCUAAAUAGUUGAGUUUGUAUCCGUAUAAUUCAUCAUCUGAUGCUUUACAUAUCGUUGUUACUCGCCUUCUUGGUUUUGGAUUAGAGCUCUCUGGCUUUAACGAAUCCAUGAACGUUUUCUGCGAGCAGCUUGGAGUGAAAGCUCAUGGUCAUGGGACGGCAAGUAGGAUGGUUUUCCUCCCGGUGGAGGAGAUGGUGACUGUUUUGACACCACCGUAGUGGGAUCGAGGUAGGAGAGAGUGGAGUCGGGGAACUUGUCUUCGAUGGAAAUGACAGAGGAGAUGGUAGUUGAGAAGGAUCAGGUGGUUGAGUUAGAGCUGCGGCGGCUGCUGAAUUGAGGGAGAGAUUAGGAGAAAGAGCGUGUGAAGGAGAGAGGCCAUGAAUGUGGAGGUUGUGAAAAGGAAUGGUUUGACUGAAUGUGAUGUUACAUAUUCCGGUGGAGCAAAACAGUCGUGUCUUAUCUUGGUCUCCAAGUGCGUGAAUCCAAAUGUUGUCUUCUCACGAUCUAUCACCCAAUGCCUCUCCCAUUACUUGAAACUGCGAGUAUAACUAUAAUCGAAGGCUGAUAGGUGUGGCGAGACCAUUGUGACAAAGCUUCUGCAUUUAUGGGAAGCACGGAAUGUGAAUAAGGGUGGUGAUCUCAUUGGUGUUUAUAUUACUUUGGUGGAUGAGAUGAUAUAUUUUUAUUAACUUAAACUCUGAUUUUUUAUACCACAAAUAAAUCUUAUUAUUUCUAUUAACUCGAUGGAGUAAAUCUUAUUGUUUCUAUUAGGUUCACGGAGAAGACCAGUUUUGUUGAGAUUGCAAAGAACAUUAACCAUAUCCCUACGUUGAAUCUCUCUUUGUAGUUACAACAUGGUCAACUCUGAGGACAAGACAAACAAGAGCAAAAGUGCCUUCUUGGCAUGUUCUUUGAGUCUUUAAGAUUUCUCACACACACAUCAGGUAUAUCAUAUUUAAGUAUUUUCAUAUCCGUUAAAACAUAGAUAUUUUUCUUCAAGCUUUCAGUUGUCCCCUAAGAAAAUCAUAUGGAUUCUAAUUCUACAGAGAUAUUUUGGUUCGCAAUUGGCAGAGGAAAACAAGCUACUAAAACAUAAGCUAUUGUGAAUUUGUUUGCUAUAAUUGUACUAUGCUUUAUGUGUAUGGACUGCAACAGUUAUAACUAACUUCAAAAUGAACCAGGCAAAAAGACUAUGAAACCACGAAAGAGCUUCUAUGGUUAAUGGGAUUGUUGAUACUGAUUCACUUAAUAAGUGGAGUCAGAGCUUUACAACAAAUGUUUCUUGAUUACAUAGUGUUUGGCUAUUUUGACAUGUUCAUCAAGGUUCACUCUUUAGUCUUUACUAAUGAAAUUCAAAUUGGUAUAUUUAGUUUUCUGCCUCUUUAGAUAGUUUUCACAAUCAAAUCUUCAGGAUUUAUAUUGUAAGGAGAUGAAUCAUAUAUAUUUUCUUCUGAUUUAUGUUUGUAUAGUUAACAAAUUAACCUCCAGCAUAAAGUUACCAAUUUCACGUCUUCCUUAUCGUAUGUAUUCACUGUAUGCACAUGCUUUCAUGGCAGGAAUAGUAGAUACUCAGGGUCUCAUCGCCCUCAUGAUGAUGACACCGGGCGGGAGAAGACAUAAAGCCAGCUACAGUUUUUAAAACGGUGAAGAACUUGAAAUGUUGAAAUUCCAUGUGUACUUCAGCAAAAUACCUUCUCAUUGCGGUGUUCUUGCUCAAGAAACCCAACAGCAUAAGAUGCCUGGAUGUUGGACUCCACAGAGGGCAUGGAUAAUCGUAAAAGAACUCGGAAGUAAGUUUUUAAAACAGUGUCUUUGUUUCUCUUUUGGUGUAUAUUUCAUAACUAAAAAUGAUUUGAUUGCUGAAUUUGAUGACAAGUGUAUGUAUGUAAUGAUAAUUUCUCUGUGUGUUUCUUGAUGUAUUUGAAUAGAAUCUGAAGUUUUUUCUUGAUGAUGAUGUCUCCUCCUUGGGAUAGCAUUCAUGUUUUCUCUUCUCAUAUUAUCAUCUCAUCAUAAAGUUAUUUAAAAACUUAACUCAUAAGAGAAAAAUCCAUCUAUCAUAUUGUUUAUCAUGAUUCAUCAAAUCUAAGCCAACAAUAAAGUAAAUCUUAAGGGAAAACAUUUAAAAAUUAAAAAAACGAAAACCACAACCAACAAAUAAUAUAUGAUCAAACAAUUUUUUUAAAAAUUUAGUUUGAAAAUAAUUGUAUCCAAUGACAAGAUACAAUCAAUAUAGUCAAUAUAUAGUAAUGUAUAAUAGAAUUAUUGUAAAGGUUAUCUUUUUUAAGUUAGCCAGUAAUAUUUAUUUCAGAAAAUUUGUUCAAUUAUUUUGAUAACAUGGUUAACUUAAUUUUCAUAUAUAUAAUAGGACAUAUAAGAUUCUAACAAACAUGUAUAUGUAUACAGUUUCUCAAAAAAGAACAUGUUUAUGUACAGUGUAAGAAUAGUUUCAUAUUAUCAAUUUAUCUAUCUUUAAAUAUUUUAUAUUAUAAUGAAUAAGUUAUUUUUUUUACAUCGUGAAAAUCAUUAAUUUUUAAGAAAAAAAUUAUAAAAAAAGAAAAUUAUUUUUACAAUUUUAUAAUAAUUAAGUAAAUAUAUAAUUUAUAAAAUGAAUAGUUAAUAAUGUUGUAAAAACUAUGAACGUUAAAUAUAUUUUUAGUUAAAAAUAAAUUAAACAUGUAAAUUAAAUUUAUAUUAUUUGUCAUUAACUCCCCCGCCCGUAGGGCUGGUUUACCCUAGUAUUAUAUAAAAUUUAUAAAAUAUAUGUCUGUUUUGAAAGUUUCAAAUCAUUUAUGUGUUGAAAAAAAAUCUAUGUUUUUAUCAUG